CACGUCUUGGUCAUUCAUCACUUCGCCACUGACCAUGCAAGUACGCUAUUCGAAAGUGAAGUAUUAUUUUGUUUGUUUCAGUAAUACUUCCUCUCCCAGCUUAGCCCUUCAUAUUAAAAUAUAUCGUCACUUUUGAGAUUGAUCGCUGACUCUGAAAGAUAAUCCAGCAAAUGGUUUAGCGACUCAACUGAUUCGAUACAGAUAUCGACACAGAUUUUUGGAAGAGUAAAUACAGAUGAAAAGAUUUUUUAAGACAAAAAUACAGAUUUAAUUUUGGCAACCCUGUUCAGAGGUACCAAAGGGAAUUCUUCGGGUCCCGGAUUGAAUGACGAUUUAAGCCGAGAAGCGCUGGUAACCAUUGUUUCAUCGAUAUUGACGAGGCACUCUUGGGAGAUUAAAAAAACAUCGGAAGGUACAAUUGGGAGAUUCGACUUAUUAAGUUUUGUUUGUUGCAUUCCGAUGGAGGAUGAGUAUAAGUUGCAGUUAUGGUUGCGGUCGGUCGGAAUAAAUAGAAAUAUAUUACGCUUACAGGAGAAAAAUCAAGAUAAAUCAAGCAUAUUCCUCGACUUUCCAGGACACCAGGACAGUCAAUGCAAAAUCAGGACAUGUCCUGGGAAACCAGGACGUAUGGUCACCCUAGCCAACGGGGUUACUUGCCCAAGGACAUAACCCCUCCCCAACACAUUGAAACCAAGGCUCAUAGAAAAAUACUGGGCAAUUAUGAAGUAGGCACUACGGAAGCAUCCCAAGGAGGUCAAAUCUCAGAAGACAUGAAGAAAAAGUGGGUUUCCGUACAGAAGAAGCUGCAGUCAGAUGUUGUACAGAAUCUAAGAAGUGCAGUUAAGCGGUAGGUACGAGCUUACGGUUGUGGUAAUGGGUUAUAUUUUAGUGUCUGAAAGUUUGAAAAGUUCUAAACUUUUUUUUCGUGAUGCAAUUUGAUGUGGGCCACUCUUUAUUGACGGAAUUUAAUGAAAUCCAAUAUUCUUCAGUAUAAUUUUCUUGUAGAAAGUUGUAAUAAACCAUACCAUGGAUAAA